ACAAAAACAGCUCCUCAAAUUGCAUCCAAACCAUCUUAGUUACAUCUUGAGUAGUCUUGAUCAUAUCCCACCAGUUGUCUGCUUCAUCCCUCAACAUGAAGAAAGUUAAAGAAACUCUCCUUUCCUCAGGCAUUGCCAUUACAUCCAGUAUUUUCAUUAUUUCUUUCAUCCAAUUCUCGGCUUCAAGAAAAUUAAGCCCACCCUGAA
rnacentral:lncRNA from 1 species